UAGGGAAUCUUCGGCAAUGGACGGAAGUCUGACCGAGCAACGCCGCGUGAGUGAAGAAGGUUUUCGGAUCGUAAAGCUCUGUUGUAAGAGAAGAACGAGUGUGAGAGUGGAAAGUUCACACUGUGACGGUAUCUUACCAGAAAGGGACGGCUAACUACGUGCCAGCAGCCGCGGUAAUACGUAGGUCCCGAGCGUUAUCCGGAUUUAUUGGGCGUAAAGCGAGCGCAGGCGGUUAGAUAAGUCUGAAGUUAAAGGUUGUGGCUUAACCAUAGUACGCUUUGGAAACUGUUUAACUUGAGUGCAGAAGGGGAGAGUGGAAUUCCAUGUGUAGCGGUGAAAUGCGUAGAUAUAUGGAGGAACACCGGUGGCGAAAGCGGCUCUCUGGUCUGUAACUGACGCUGAGGCUCGAAAGCGUGGGGAGCAAACAGGAUUAGAUACCCUGGUAGUCCACGCCGUAACGAUGAGUGCUAGGUGUUGGGUCCUUUCCGGGACUCAGUGCCGCAGCUAACGCAUUAAGCACUCCGCCUGGGGAGUACGACCGCAAGGUU
rnacentral:rRNA from 1 species